CAAAUAAUGGCUGCUCAGAAAGAGGGGCCUGGGCUCUGCGGUGUCUUAGGACAUCACAAUGGAACCUGUCAUACAGCUUGAGCCCUGAGAGCAGGAAGGUCCUCCUUGCCCAACAUUCCAGCAAGACAGAGAGAGCCAAAGGAAAACACAACCUAGAAUAGUAGGCCUAUGUACCAUUAUACAUAGACAGGUGUGGGUGAAGUGAACAGCAUCACUGAGGUCAGAAUCCUAAACUUUUUCCACUUUAAUGCUGGAAGGUUAUGUAAAGGCACAAAAUACAAAAUGGAAUUUAAUAAUUACCUAUGUGAUAAAAUCCUAAAUUUUCUGCUUUCCCAGAACAGUUACCGAAACAAACAUCAAAAAUUUCUUAGUGGUGAAGGAAAGCAGGGGUUGAAUUUAAUAUGGAAUUUGUAAUAUUCUGGAGUUCAGAAAGUUAGAUCCGGGACACACACCAUGUGCUCCAUUAGCGCAUUGAUAAACACUGUAGUCAAGGUUCUACCAGCUUUCUUAAAUGUUAAUUUGGAAUUGUUAUCCAAGACUACUAAUGCCAUGUAUUUGUCUUUUUUUAUUGUCUGUUUUUCUGCAGUGAUGAAUCUAACCUUCCAAGCAUGAAGUUGUGUAUAUAAUGGUCCACUUUCUAUAUUUAUAGUUGAAAACAGAAUUGCAGAUUUUACAAGUCUGAGAUAUGUUUACAUAGAGCUGCUUCUUCCUGUCCGCAGUAGUACACAUGUCCAUCUCUAUUCCACUUACAUCUGAAAUUGGGCAAUUUAUGAAACCAGUGAGAAGUCUGCAAAGAAAUCUAGAUCAGUAUCUCUUUAUCUUAUGUGAAGAUAUGUAUUUAUAUGGACAUCUGUGAUAGAGAAUGGUCGUUCUUGCUAUUUUCUUACUUUGGGCUUGUGAAUUGCAUGGACAAAAAGUGCCAUGACAUAGUUUACAAUGAAAUUGUGACCAAAUAUGGACUCAAGUCUAUGAACAUGUACCAUACUGACUGACUUUGGAGUUUGCUAUCACAUCCCCAGUCACCUUCCCUGUUAGCAAUGAUUCGUGCCCACACCACCUACUGAAACUGACUAAAAAAGCAUGAUUGUGUGCCAAACCUGCCUGUCCUUGUGCAAAUUCAGAUGCUAGCAUGCUGCUUUAUGAGUCCUUUGAUUACAUCUGAGCUUUUAUUCCUUUUGUCAUCUCAAGGGGGUUACACCAUGGCUUAUUGCCAAAAAGAGAUAAGUUGGUGGAAAGCACACAAUUGGUCUAUCAUUUUGAGGGAGUUGCAGUCCCAGCUGCAGAUCUCCAGCUUCCAGUAUUGUGAGCUCAUGGGGCCACCUUGGCUGAAAUACCAAGGGGGUGAGCUGAUUGCUGCCGCGGGUUUUCCUGGUGCUGCUCUUGGCAGUGAAGACAUGGGAAGAGGACCGGUUCAGCAUCCUGCGCCAUCUCUCAUGUGACCAAGUAGGAAAGAGGUUUACAAAUGCGAACACCCAGAACAGCAGACUUUUUUUUUUUUCUAAUAAAUUGAAUUCCAGUGAGUGUUAAUCUGGGUGAUUUUGGAGAAAGAGCCAUGCAGCACUUCUUUUGCCACAGGAGAUCCUUGGAAUGGCAGUCCCUGUUCCUGAGGACAAUGGGUGUGUACAUUGCAUCUAAGCCCAGAUUGCUGAAGAAGUACCAUGUCCCAAGAAGGGGCAGCCAAAAUGCCCUCUCCUGGAGGUGCAGAGGAGCUCACCGGUACAAUCUCUACCAAAGUUGAUGUGAGAGCUUUCUUUCCUUCCAAGAUCCAGCCAUACCAAACAUUUUCUACAAGUUCUAGAAACAAAUAGAUAUUUUCCAUUCUUUUUAAAAUAUUUUUUGGGUUUCAUUUUUAGUCCCAGGAAUAUUUAGAAAAUAUUUGUUUCAGUUUUUGUCACGUCUGUCACAAGCAAUAUUUUUAAGAAAAGUCAUCAAAUCAUAAUUUGGUGCCAACACUCAAAAUGACAUCUUUCUCGUUUUAGAUAACUGAAGAGAAAAGCAACUUCGAUUUCAGUUUAAUCAUUGUAAAGCAUGAAAGUUAAGCAUUUUUUUUCAGUAUUUUUUGACUUUUUUUUACAUGAUGAAUGUAACAAAUUAUCAGUUGAUAGACAAGAUUUUAGAGCAUUAGCUCACUUCUAUUUCUUAUGAUUGUUUUUUCUAUAGAUUUCUUUCUUUUUAAUAUUUUUAAUGUUUCUUAUUCACAGACCAAACCCAAGUUCUCAAAAAGCUGUGAAAUACAGUUGCCAUAAGUAUGUUUUCAUCUACUUGCUCAAAGAUUACCUAACCAUAUUAGACUGAGCACUUCUUUGCACAGUAAGAAGUUGGUCGCAUGUUUUGAAGUGGCUUAAGUGGAAAGGUUACAUGAGGAGAAACAUUGUUGAUAGUAGUCACCUGUUAGCUCAGUAGAGAUUUUAAUUUCCUUCAAGGAUUCAAUGCCAUUUCGUUGGGAAAUUUCUAGUUUUGUGAAUAAGUUUUUUUUGUGUGUGUGUGGUUUUUAUUUUUAAACCACCGGAGGGGAAAUUUGCUCAUUGCUGAUUUGAAUGAUUCAAAAUGGUGUCUUUUUAAAUUAAUUUAUCUUGUUUCCAAGGUUAAAGACAUGUUUAAACUAUUAGAUUAGUCUACUUGGUAGUAUUUCUUGUAACAUUCCACACCCCAAGCCAACUUAGCAUUUUGAAAAUAAUAGAGUGCCUCAUAUGGCAUAGGUAGGAUAAGUUAUUGUUCAACGUCUGAAAUGAUUCGUCUUAAAUGGUUUGGGAAAAGUGAACUGGAGUGGAACUACAUUCUGUUUAGAAAAACCAACUAACAUCUUGAAAAAAAGUCGGGUAGUUAUAUUUCUAUCCUUCUUUCUGUUCUUCUAGUAGAAAGAGGUAUUGAGAUCACUACCUAAAACUUACACAGCUUCAGAUAAGAAUACCUCGACAUCAAAAGAGAAGCAUUUCACAUAUAAACAAAGUUUUAGAACUUGGCCCUUUAAGGAAUACGGGGCUGUCCUGUGUGUAUAUUGAGUUUUUUGAUUUUGAGUUAAGUGAUUUGACAGCAUCAACUUAUUCCAUGAUUAAAGGAAGUUGUAAACUUACAUUUCAUUUAUUACCUUGGGAAAAACAAUGGGAUGAUGUCACUCCUCCUGAUUCAGUGGAAUUGCGAGGUCUUAAACACCGUAGAUGAUCUGAAAGUUUUGCAUUAUUAAAGUAUGUUCAUGCAUCCAUUUUGUCAUCAAUACAGGGAGUCUUCAGAUAACUUCCAAAUGAAUAAUCAUGAUUGUUGAUAUAUGUUGAUAAACAUCUUUCUUAAAUAUUUCUUUUAAUUUAUAUUAUUGGAUAGAGGAUUGAGAAAAAUAUAUGAAAGACACAUUGGAAAUAAAUCAAAGUUUACUUCUGAGAAAACAUCUUUAAAAGAUGCAAAUUGUUGUGUUUUAGCUUUAAAACUUUUCCAUUCACAUUGGCUGGUGCUAAUGUAUUUUAUUCUUUCUUUAUGGACAGUGCAACUCUACUAUGGAUAAUUUCAUUUCUCUGAUUAUUAGCAUUCCUAAACUCAGUGUGUGAUUUUACUUUUAAAAUUCAUGAAUUUGCUCUAAUUAUGGUUCAAUGACCAUCCUCUCUUAAAUGUAAAGUGUGCCUAUAGAUAAUGUGUUUUUACUUGGAUCAUGGGUCCCUUUGUUUCAUGUUAAUUUUAUACAUACUGUGCCUUUAUCAAUUUUUGUUCUUUUUCACUGACUCAUCUUUUCAACUUAUAUAAUUUGAUGAAACUUGAUACAAUCAGUGAUAGAGGAGUCUGUACACUCCACGCGGUUGCAUGAAUACGCCUACACUCCUCUUCCAGUUUUCACUUUGCAUUUUCAACAGCAGGCCUGGAGGAGUUUUCUUUAUCAUCUGAGUUUAUAGAGAACAUUAGAAUGCCUUUCAUUUGUACCAAUAGAAAGGUAUUAUUUUUGAAUUUGCAGUUUGUGCAUAUGAUGUUCUAAUGGGACAAGAAUUUAUGCAUCCUGUAGUUUAUACUACAUGUCCUUUGUCCACAAUGUGUGUGUUUGGAAAAUGAUCAAAUCAGCAUAGCUUUACCUAUUUGAAACCUUGUUUUUCCUCUAUUUCUUGAUAAUCAAAUUAUAUUAAUAUUUAAUACUACUAAAAAUAGAAUUUUCUAACUUCAACAAAUAAAAACCCUGCUAUCUCUAGGAAGUCAAGGUCCACUAGGAACAUUAUCUUUCCAAAAAGAAGAAAUCACAUGUGAUACAACCUGUCAAAAAAAUCACACGUCCUAAACAUGCUUAACCAAUCAUGAGUCUGCUGAAUUAUUUUAGAAUAUAAAGACCUUCAGUCCAUACUCCUUCCCAUUUUCCCCUAACGUGUCUUCAUAUUGGCUAGAUUUGUUAUAUGCCAGAACAGAAAUGCUCCUCUAACUUGAAGUUUUAGUAGAUUUAGUUUUUUGCCAAUCCAAUACCAAUAAACAUAUUAAUGGCAUUUUCAUUAAAAAUACAUUUAAGAGAAUAAAUUAUCUAUGCUGCUUAUUGAUGGAACUGUUCUUGGGGAAAAGGAAGACUUUUUCAACCUGACCUGUUAUGUUUGAUGUUUGAUUUAUUGACAGACUACCAACGUUUCUCAAAAUGCAGUUGAUAUUCUCUCAUAUCUCAGAAAAAUUAAUGAGUUGGAUUCACAAAAGAAUGUCUUACAUAUUGUUGACAUUUAUGUGAAUAUUCUUUAUACUGUUGUAAAUGUUUCAUUCAACUUGACAUUUUUAAAAGAUGUAUGUAUCUUAUUUUUCUUUAGGAAAUAUUAUAUUUUUAUUUGUGUUUUUUACAUUUUAAAGUUCAUCUAUAUGUGCAGCUAUUUUUAUAUUGCCAAAAACUCACAUAAACACAAAAUAAGAGGAAAAUGAAAAAAAAAUUGGCAAACAUUACAUUGCAUUUUUUGAAUGUUUCAUGGGCCAGUCUCAUGUGAUUGAUUAUUUUAAGAAUGUGUUGUGUCUUAUCACUGUAAAUAUGGCACAGACCUGAUUAUCUCACUAAUGUAAAUAUUUGAAAGGUUGAAUUCUCCCCGUUUGCUUUUUUAUUUCAGUUUCAUUGUAAUUUCUCCAGCUGACAUUAUUGAAGCAAAAGACACAAAGUUUUCGACUUGCAGUUUGGAGAUAAUUGCAUUGUUUCAGAGAAUUGUUCAGUUUCUACUUUGUUUUUUAUUUGCUUUUUAAACUUGUUUCAGGGUUCUUAGUUUGUGAGAAGUUGAUCUUCAGAAUUAUUUUUACACUAUUUAUGACUUAUUUUCAUAAUGUAAAAAGUGUGUAAUUAUUACAUAUUAAUCCAAACAAUGAUAAUGAAUUGUAUUGUUAUAAAGCUUUAUUGAUAUUCAUGACAA
rnacentral:lncRNA from 1 species